rnacentral:rRNA from 1 species
UACGAAGGGGGCUAGCGUUGCUCGGAAUCACUGGGCGUAAAGCGCACGUAGGCGGCUUCUUAAGUCAGGGGUGAAAUCCUGGAGCUCAACUCCAGAACUGCCUUUGAUACUGAGGAGCUUGAGUCCGGGAGAGGUGAGUGGAACUGCAAGUGUAGAGGUGAAAUUCGUAGAUAUUCGCAAGAACACCAGUGGCGAAGGCGGCUCACUGGCCCGGUACUGACGCUGAGGUGCGAAAGCGUGGGGAGCAAACAGG